rnacentral:lncRNA from 1 species
GAUUACACUACCCACAACCCCCUCCUACUGCAGUAUGUACAGGAGGAGGUAGGACUACACUACCCACAACCCCCUCCUACUGCAGUACAUACAGGAGGAGGUAGGACUACACUACCCACAACCACAGUUCCCUAAAGGCAGGGUUGGGUAGGUAAGUACCCCGUUAGAGGGUUGGGUAGGUUAGUACCCCGUUAGAGGGUUGGGUAGGUUAGUACCCUGUUAGUUAGAGGGUUGGGUAGGUUAGUACCCUGUUAGAGGGUUGGGUAGGUUAGUACCCUGUUAGGGGGUUGGGUAGGUUAGUACCCCGUUAGAGGGUUGGGUAGGUUAGUACCCUGUUAGAGGGUUGGGUAGGUUAGUACCCCGUUAGAGGGUUGGGUAGGUU